rnacentral:rRNA from 1 species
AACGCCUACGGGGGGCAGCAGUGAGGAAUAUUGGUCAAUGGGAGAGAUCCUGAACCAGCCAAGCCGCGUGAGGGAAGACGGCCCUAUGGGUUGUAGACCUCUUUUGUCGGAGAACAAAACCCGGGACGUGUCCCGGACUGCGUGUAUCCGAAGAAAAAGCAUCGGCUAACUCCGUGCCAGCAGCCGCGGUAAUACGGAGGAUGCGAGCGUUAUCCGGAUUUAUUGGGUUUAAAGGGUGCGUAGGCGGUCGGUUAAGUCAGCGGAGAAAUUGGGGGGCUCAA